UGGGGAAUAUUGCACAAUGGAGGGAACUCUGAUGCAGCGACGCCGCGUGAACGAAGAAGGCUUUCGAGUCGUAAAGUUCUUUUAUAUGGGAAGAUAAUGACGGUACCAUAAGAAAAAGCCCCGGCUAACUACGUGCCAGCAGCCGCGGUAAUACGUAGGGGGCUAGCGUUGUCCGGAAUCACUGGGCGUAAAGGGUUCGCAGGCGGAAAUGCAAGUCAGGUGUAAAAGGCAGUAGCUUAACUACUGUAAGCAUUUGAAACUGCAUAGCUUGAGAAGAGUAGAGGUAAGUGGAAUUUUUAGUGUGGCGGUGAAAUGCGUAGAUAUUAAAAAGAAUACCGGUGGCGAAGGCGACUUACUGGGCUCAUUCUGACGCUGAGGAACGAAAGCGUGGGUAGCAAACAGG
rnacentral:rRNA from 1 species